UUCAUGCGAACAUUUUCAUCCAUUCUACUAUUCGAAAAUCUUUAUUCGUCAUAUUCCUCCAUAUCCCCUUCUUAAAGGAUUUGUUUAUAACUGCUUUAUAACCCAUUCCCUUCUAAAGAACUUCAUUCUUGCUAAACUCAACUGUCAGAAUAGAAAUUCUCCACAACUGUUCAAUAAAUGUGAAGCAAUGAGAAUAAUUCACGCAUUCAAAUGAUUCACUUAAGAUGAUCUUUCACAAAAUUUAUUUGAAAAGGUUUUAACAAAAGUUAAUCUGCAAACCGUCUUGUUUAUCUUGCUUAUCUUGCCCGUGUCCAUCUUGCCCGUGGACACGUACGUAGGUGAUCGGCCUACCAUAUAUGACCUUUUGUUAUUUCUUGCUGGAACGACAUUCGCGUUUAUAUGGUGUAUUAAAAUUUUCCCCAAUUCAGGUAUAUUCUAGAGUCCAUACUAAAUCAAUUUAGUCAGACAAUUCAAAAGCUUAAUAUUAACAAUGAAAUUUCUAUAUCUGGCCGAUUCAAAUGGUUUUGAUACUGCUUUAGUUUUUUUAAUAUAUUGAAAAUCAUUUUAUGACGCAUAGUACAUCACUAUUUUUAACAGCCCGUUGAGAAUGCCGUUGUUUUAUAAUUUCAUCACGCUACAUCCUGCCAUAGUGGAAUGACAGUCCAUAGAUCACAUCCAACACUAGGUGACACUACAUUAAUGACUUCAUCAUUUGUCACAUUUACAUCAUAUUAAUGAUGUAGUGAUGACUAUAAAAAUAUAUUUUGAAAAUUUCAAAUUUUGUCUAGUUGAAACAAGUAGCAUAAACAUAAGAGAAGCGAACUUUUUAAAACUUAUUAGUUAAAAAAUGUGACCCAAUAUUUAUAUAUAUACAUUUUUCUUUAAAACAACAGAACAAUUAUCUGCACGAUGCUAACAAACUUCGAAAUCUAGCAUAACUAGAAGACUUGAGAAUAUCCAUGUCUUCCUUCAUUAGCUUCAACUUUCUCCAUAGCUCCAUC
rnacentral:lncRNA from 1 species